UACGGAGGGGGCUAGCGUUGUUCGGAAUUACUGGGCGUAAAGCGCACGUAGGCGGCUUUGCAAGUCUGAGGUGAAAGCCCGGGGCUCAACCCCGGAAUUGCCUUUGAGACUGCAUCGCUAGAAUUGUGGAGAGGUAAGUGGAAUUCCGAGUGUAGAGGUGAAAUUCGUAGAUAUUCGGAAGAACACCAGUGGCGAAGGCGGCUCACUGGCCCGAUACUGACGCUGAGGCACGAAAGCGUGGGGAGCAAACAGG
rnacentral:rRNA from 1 species